rnacentral:rRNA from 1 species
CCUACGGGAGGCAGCAGUGGGGAAUUUUGGACAAUGGGCGCAAGCCUGAUCCAGCAAUGCCGCGUGAGUGAAGAAGGCCUUCGGGUUGUAAAGCUCUUUUGUCAGGGAAGAAACGGUGAGGGCUAAUAUCCUUUGCUAAUGACGGUACCUGAAGAAUAAGCACCGGCUAACUACGUGCCAGCAGCCGCGGUAAUACGUAGGGUGCAAGCGUUAAUCGGAAUUACUGGGCGUAAAGCGUGCGCAGGCGGUUUUGUAAGUCUGUCGUGAAAUCCCCGGGCUCAACCUGGGAAUUGCGAUGGAGACUGCAAGGCUAGAAUCUGGCAGAGGGGGGUAGAAUUCCACGUGUAGCAGUGAAAUGCGUAGAGAUGUGGAGGAACACCGAUGGCGAAGGCAGCCCCCUGGGUCAAGAUUGACGCUCAUGCACGAAAGCGUGGGGAGCAAACAGGAUUAGAUACCCUGGUAGUCCACGCCCUAAACGAUGUCUACUAGUUGUCGGGUUUUAAUUAACUUGGUAACGCAGCUAACGCGUGAAGUAGACCGCCUGGGGAGUACGGUCGCAAGAUUAAAAACCUCAAAAGUAGUAAGUAGGACCGUGAGAACGUACGCCGAACCGGAAGGACCAACCGAACGGGAAGGGUUAAGGAGGG